rnacentral:rRNA from 1 species
CCUACGGGUGGCAGCAGUGGGGAAUAUUGGGCAAUGGGCGCAAGCCUGACCCAGCAACGCCGCGUGAAGGAAGAAGGCUUUCGGGUUGUAAACUUCUUUUCUCAGGGACGAAGAAAGUGACGGUACCUGAGGAAUAAGCCACGGCUAACUACGUACCAGCAGCCGCGGUAAUACGUAGGGGGCAAGCGUUAUCCGGAUUUACUGGGUGUAAAGGGCGUGUAGGCGGGACUGCAAGUCAGAUGUGAAAACCACGGGCUCAACCUGUGGCCUGCAUUUGAAACUGUAGGUCUUGAGUACUGUGGAGGCAGACGGAAUUCCUAGUGUAGCGGUGAAAUGAGUAGAUAUUAGGAGGAACACCAGUGGCGAGGGCGGUCUGCUGGACAGCAACUGACGCUGAGGCGCGAAAGCGUGGGGAGCAAACAGGAUUAGAUACCCGAGUAGU